UGAAACUUGCAGGAACGGGC
rnacentral:miRNA from 1 species